rnacentral:rRNA from 1 species
GAUGAACGCUAGCGGCAGGCCUAACACAUGCAAGUCGAACGGUAACGCGGGGCAACCUGGCGACGAGUGGCGAACGGGUGAGUAAUGCUUCGGAAUCUGCCCUUCAGUGGGGAAUAACCAGUCGAAAGACUGGCUAAUACCGCAUACGAACUGAGGUUGAAAGCAGGGGAUCGCAAGACCUUGCGCUAUUGGAUGAGCCGAAGUCGGAUUAGCUAGUUGGUAGGGUAACGGCCUACCAAGGCGACGAUCCGUAGCUGGUCUGAGAGGACGACCAGCCACACUGGGACUGAGACACGGCCCAGACUCCUACGGGAGGCAGCAGUGGGGAAUAUUGGACAAUGGGCGAAAGCCUGAUCCAGCGACGCCGCGUGUGUGAAGAAGGCCUGCGGGUUGUAAAGCACUUUUAGUUGGGGAGGAAAUGCUCAGACCU